rnacentral:RNase_P_RNA from 1 species
GGAGUCGGUCAGACAGUCGCUGCUUUCUUUAAUGAAAGUGGAGGAAAGUCCGGGCUCCACAGGGUAGGGUGCCAGGUAACGCCUGGGAGGUGUGAGCCUACGGAAAGUGCCGCAGAAAAUAUACCGCCUAAGCGCUUGCGGGCGCCGGUAAGGGUGAAAUGGUGCGGUAAGAGCGCACCGCGCGGCUGGUAACAGCCGUGGCAGGGAAAACCCCACCCGGAGCAAGACCAAAUAGGGGGGCACUGGGUUUAUCCCUGACGCGCGACCCGCGCGGCUCCCGGGUAGGUCGCUCGAGGCGCACGGUGACGUGCGUCCCAGAUGAAUGACUGUCCACGACAGAACCCGGCUUAUCGACCGGCUCCUCCU